CAGUAGCCGCGGGAAUACGUAGGUGGCAAGCGUUGUCCGGAAUUAUUGGGCGUAAAGGGCUCGCAGGCGGUUUCUUAAGUCUGAUGUGAAGGCCCCCGGCUCAACCGGGGAGGGUCAUUGGAAACUGGGAAACUUGAGUGCAGAAGAGGAGAGUGGAAUUCCACGUGUAGCGGUGAAAUGCGUAGAGAUGUGGAGGAACACCAGUGGCGAAGGCGACUCUCUGGUCUGUAACUGACGCUGAGGAGCGAAAGCGUGGGGAGCGAACAGGAUUAGAUACCCCAGUAGUCCCUGUCUCUUAUAU
rnacentral:rRNA from 1 species